GAAAGUUUCUUGAAUCUAAUUCAAGAUUUAUUCAAUGCUUUACUUUUAUUCUUCUCAUUAAAUUUAUGUUAUCUUUGUUUAUUUUAUUAAAUAUUUAAUAUAUUCAACAUUUACAACAUUUAGAUUCUGUUUCUGUAGGCUUUUCGGAAGUGCAUUUAUUUUUUUUUGCAAAUACAUUCAGGUGAACAUUUACAUUCAUCCUUACAGCAUGAGCAACAACAACAGCAGCAUUUUCCAUUAACAUUUUUUUGAGAUUCACUUUCGGGGCAAGUUUUAAUGCAACACUUGCAAUUUGCAGUACAUUUACAUUGUUCACAAUUAGUCAUUUUGAAUAAGUUCUUUUAAUGAUUAGGCGAUCAAAAAAUGAUAGGUAAGAUAAUAAGUAAGUAUAACAAUAAAGUUUACUGCUAAUAGCAGAAAUAAUAAUGAU
rnacentral:lncRNA from 1 species